rnacentral:rRNA from 1 species
CCUACGGGUGGCAGCAGUGGGGAAUAUUGGACAAUGGGGGAAACCCUGAUCCAGCGACGCCGCGUGAGUGAAGAAGUAUUUCGGUACGUAAAGCUCUAUCAGCAGGAAAGAAAAUGACGGUACCUGACUAAGAAGCCCCGGCUAACUACGUGCCAGCAGCCGCGGUACUACGGAGGGGGCAAGCGUUAUCCGGAUUUACUGGGUGUAAAGGGAGCGUAGACGGCAGCGCAAGUCUGGAGUGAAAUGCCGGGGGCCAACCCCGGAACUGCUCUUGAAACUGUGAAGCUUGAGUGGAGGAGAGGUAAGCGGAAUUCCUGGUGUAGCGGUGAAAUGCGUAGAUAUCAGGAGGAACACCGGUGGCGAAGGCGGCUUACUGGACUGUAACUGACGUUGAGGCACGAAGGCGUGGGGAGCAAACAGGAUUAGAUACCCGAGUAGUC